GGAGGGGGGCAAUACCUUUUUAUGUAAACAUGUUUUGGCUCUUUUCAAGGUGUUGUUAACUGUUAUCUGAGAUAAAUUAAAGCUGUUAACUGUUUUUAACCCACAUUGUCAACUGUUAUCAGCAUUUUUGCAUUUUUGUUAACUGUUUUUGCCAAAAUCGAGGUGCUGUUGACAUGUUAACAGACCCCCUAUUGCCCCUCCU
rnacentral:lncRNA from 1 species